UAAUGAAAUUAAAAAGGCCGUUCUAGUCUAUUGUUCACACGUAGUGCAUACUAUCACUGAAGGUGAUUAGUACGUUGAAUUCGUUGCCUUAUUAAUUAGCUGUACAUAAAACAAAUUGACAAACGAACGAGAAACAAAUUAAAAACUGUGAUGAAUCUAAAAGAGUAUAUACAGAUAGCAAACAAAUAAAAUUCCACCGUUGCUACGAAACCUCUGGUCAUCCCUGCCAUGGGCUCCUCGGGUCACAUCCGUGAGGAAACGUGUAAUCUCUCGCUGGUUGCACAAACGAGAGCGUGGUGGAGACAAAGCGUUGAGUUCAGCGAACACGGCCAAGUGAUGACAACAAAUUAUCUUCAUCGAGAUGAGGGAAUUGCAUCGUACUGUUUUCGACUCAACCUCCUCACCAGGACGAAGGUCUGCAGCCGAGAAUAUUCCAAGGACUUUUCCGGUACUGUCCGCAAGCUCGUACGAACUCGUACCACGCUUCGCGACAAUUACACAGGGCGUGUAGACCGGUCCAUAUUUCGCAUUGUAGUGCUCUGAGGCUGACGAAGGUUUGAAGUUCCGUUUGUAGACCUUCUGUCCUAUUCGAUUCACCACUAGAAAACUCCACUCUGCGUAGGGCAAGUUCGUAUUCUAGUUCAUCAUCCAGAAGAUGAUUCACGUUCAUCGACCGAUACAAGUCUAUCAAUUCAGAAUUCAUCGCAAUAAAAUUCAGGAAAUUAUGUAAAAGUUCAAUAAAAAUAAUGGAGUUCAAUAAAAUUCAAUAUUAUGCGUAAAAAUAAAAGGUAAAUUAAGAUAUUCAAAUA